GGGGCUGUAGCUCAGUGGUAGAGCACUUGCCUAGCAUGUGUGAGGCACUGGGUUCAAUUCUCAGCACCA
rnacentral:tRNA from 1 species